rnacentral:rRNA from 1 species
GAGUUUGAUCAUGGCUCAGAGUGAACGCUGGCGGCAGGCCUAACACAUGCAAGUCGAACGGCAGCACAGUCCCGCAAGGGAUGGGUGGCGAGUGGCGGACGGGUGAGGAAUACAUCGGAAUCUACCUUGUCGUGGGGGAUAACGUAGGGAAACUUACGCUAAUACCGCAUACGCACCACGGUGGAAAGCGGCGGACCGCAAGGCGUCGCGCGAUUGGAUGAGCCGAUGUCCGAUUAGCUAGUUGGCGGGGUAAAGGCCCACCAAGGCGACGAUCGGUAGCUGGUCUGAGAGGAUGAUCAGCCACACUGGAACUGAGACACGGUCCAGACUCCUACGGGAGGCAGCAGUGGGGAAUAUUGGACAAUGGGCGCAAGCCUGAUCCAGCCAUGCCGCGUGUGUGAAGAAGGCCUUCGGGUUGUAAAGCACUUUUGUCCGGAAAGAAAAGCAUUCGGUUAAUACCCGGGUGUUCUGACGGUACCGGAAGAAUAAGCACCGGCUAACUUCGUGCCAGCAGCCGCGGAAUUC